rnacentral:rRNA from 1 species
GAAUAUUGCGCAAUGGAGGAAACUCUGACGCAGCAACGCCGCGUGCGGGAAGCAGGUCUUCGGAUCGUAAACCGCUUUUGUGAGGGAAGAGUAAGGACGGUACCCCACGAAUAAGUCUCGGCUAACUACGUGCCAGCAGCCGCGGUAAAACGUAGGAGGCAAGCGUUCUCCGGAUUUACUGGGCGUAAAGCGCGUGCAGGCGGUUUGUUAAGUCGUGCGUGAAAGCUCCCUGGCUCAACCGGGAGAGGUCGUGCGAAACUGGCAAACUGGAGACAGAGAGAGGCAAGUGGAGUUCCGGGUGUAGUGGUGAAAUGCGUAGAUAUCCGGAGGAACACCAGUGGCGAAGGCGACUUGCUGGCUCUGAUCUGACGCUCAGACGCGAAAGCAUGGGGAGCGAACGGG